UGGCGGUGUGCCGAGUGGGGCGAGAGCAAUCGGUGUUGGACGACCUUGAACUUUGGGGAUGUAGGACAAAAAUGUUGGAUCUUGAUUUGUGAUUUGUGUAAAAACAGGGUGCUUGUUUUGAGACCCCAUCAUGUUGCUUACAAGGCCACUGCUUAACACAGCUGCCAGUGGAAAGAAAAUUAUGGUAGUCCUCAAAAGCAUGUCGGGCACUGGUCACAAGGUAAUCCGAAUUCGUGAGAAGGGCGGUGAUAAAAUGGAGCAAAUCAACUUUGAUCCAUUUGUGAAGGAGAAUGUUCUGUAUCGUGAACUGAAGAAAAUAAGGACAAUUCGAAAGUGAAAGAUGAUAACUUUUCCUUUGAUUGGUGGCAAGAUAAAGCAGAGGACCAACAGUAUGCUUUUCGAUGCAUGGAUUGUGUGGGGUGUGAAGAAUCUUUGGACGAUGCAGUGUCUGAGCUUGGCAAUAACAUGAUUGUUACAUGAACUUUUAGAAAUGUACAUCUCUCCUUCUAAGGAUAUGAAGAAUAUGGAUUGUGGGACAGUCAUUCAGCAUCAUGUUGACAUUUGGUUGAGUACUCAUGCAGUAGAUUCUGACAUUGAAGAGUUUUGUACAUAUUGUUUACAAUAAACUCCUUAAAAUAA